CGAGGAGAGAUUUUUCAUCGAAGUAGAGAAGUACUCACUUUUAUAUGACUCGUCUUAAAAAUUCUACAAGGAUCCAACUAAUAAAAAUGCGUUAUGGAGAGAGAUUGCAAAGACCAUGCACAUUUCAGAUGGUGUUAAAGACGCCACUGCUCCUGUGUUGCAGGAAGUGCUGUGUGCAAUCAUCUGGUGGCCCUUCUUUACCAGACAGCGCACUACUCUCAACUAAACAUUCCUGCUGCACCACCAGUUCACAGCUGCACAGACACAGAACAGCGUUGGCACGAGCCAAGAACACUUCCAGGUCCGGUUGAUGGGAUAGAGUUCCGUAAACUUACUAACUCGUGUGCUGAUGGAAUAAGAAGUUGUCUCUACAAAGCACUCCAUGGAUAUAUGCCUGACAUGGACCUUCUCCACGUCUCAGAAACAUAUGCCAACUUUUCUCCACUUACUUCCCCUCUUGUGACAACAAUGGAAAUGUCAGCUGAUGUGCCCCUGGUUGAGUCCUCCUUUGGGCCAGUGCAAGCUGGCAGUGUGCUGUCCUAUCAACUUCCACAGCCAAAGACCCGUGAAAUUGUGAAAAUUGCCGAUGCCCCUUCUCCACUAAUACUUCUGUUAGAUGGCAACAGGCUUCAGUCUUCCCAGUGUGCUUACAUCCUUAGCCAUCAGGGGCAGUUCCAGGUCAAGGCAUUAGAGACAACCUACGAGAUGUCACACAAAGUCGAGGUUGCUACAAGGGAGCAGAGCAGCAGCCCGGAAUGGCAUCAGCUCAGGAAAAUGAGAAUAACAUCCUCUCGUUUCCGAGAGGUUUGCCAUGUCCGGGGAGAGACCUCAGCGGACCGCCGAGCUGAGCGGAUGUUCAAGGGA